rnacentral:tRNA from 1 species
UCAGUCAUGACGCAGAGGAACAAGCGUGUGUCUAUAAACGCGACAAGUUGUAGGUUCGAUUCCCACUCGCUGAA